GAUGAACGCUGGCGGCAGGCCUAAUACAUGCAAGUCGAACGAACGCACGGUAAGCUUUCGUCUCUGAUGUUAGCGGCUGACGGGUGGGUGAGGCGUGGAUAAGCUACUUAUUAUACGUGGAGGACUUCGUGAGACCGCAUAUAAUACUACAGCAUACUUUCAACGGCAGGAUGCAAGAGUAAUACGCGGUUUUGCCGGCACUUAGAGCUGGAUCCGUGCUGGAUUGGCUAGGUGGUAAGGUAACGGCUUACCAAGGCUACGAUGCGUAGCCGAGCUGAGAGGAUGAUCGGCCACACUGGAACUGAGACACGGUCCAGACUCCUACGGGAGGCAGCAGUAGGGAAUCUUCGGCAAUGGGCGAAAGCCUGAUGCAGCCAUGCCGCGUGGGUGAAGAAGGUCUUCGGGUUGUAAAGCCCUGUUAUUGGGAAAGAACAGCUGUGUGAUAAUACGUGGAUAUUCUGACGGUACCUAAUGAGAAAGCACCGGCUAACUACGUG
rnacentral:rRNA from 1 species